UACGGGGGGGGCAAGCGUUGUUCGGAAUUACUGGGCGUAAAGGGCUCGUAGGCGGCCAACUAAGUCAGACGUGAAAUCCCCAGGCUUAACCUGGGAACUGCGUCUGAUACUGGAUGGCUUGAAUUCGGGAGAGGGAUGCAGAAUUCCAGGUGUAGCGGUGAAAUGCGUAGAUAUCUGGAGGAACACCGGUGGCGAAGGCGGCAUCCUGGACCAAUACUGACACUGAAAAGCGAAAGCCAGGGGAGCAAACGGG
rnacentral:rRNA from 1 species